UCGGAAUGAUGACAAAUUUUGCAGACAAGUUGAACAUGACAUAAUGGAUCUGUUCCAACUCUCGGAAUAACAUACUGACCCCGAUUUCCCAAAAGUCAAAUGUGGGUCAAACCUUUUCAUUUUCCAACUUCAUCUUUCGUUGAAAUGCCUCAAUAUACUCUACAGACCUCCAAAUCUGAAUCCGGAUGAUCACCUAAGUUCAAAAUCACCAUACGAAGCUGUUGAGAUCAUCUCGUUUACCCAAAAGUUCAGUUCCGGUUAAAUUUCUACCGUUCUAACUUCCAAAAAGGUUUCUUUACUAAAAUUGACUCUAAACCAUCCGAAAACCGAAUUCCACCAUGCACGCAAGUUGAUACUCAUGAUCUGAAGCUGCUCCCGACUUUAUACCGUUGAACGAAGUUUAAUUUCUCAAAACAACCGGUCGAAUCGUUACAUUCAUGAUAUGAGAAAAUUUUCAUUGUUGAAAUCAUGGGAGAGCUUAUCUGUCAUGGCAUAAUAUAUUAAUACAUACCAUAAAAUAAAAAAUAAUAAUUUCAUGUAUAUAUAUAUAUAUAUAUUAAAGGAAAAUAUUAUAUGUUACUACUAAUAAUUACUUAAAUGAUUAAAGAGAGGGGAAGAAACUAGUUCUGAGUUUAACGUCGCCGGCUCGACUUUUUUUAAAAAUUAGGCAAAAAGGAUUGUUAAAGCAUGUUUGUCGAAGAGUCUACUGAUAUAAGGCUUCAAACGAUGACCGUUUACUUUGAAUUUGCUCCCCCAUCUACAUGUUGUACUUCAAUUGCACCAUAGGGGGUCACUCAUGUUACUGUAUAUGGUCCUGUCCAGCGUGACUUAAACUUUUUUUGAAAAUAAUCUCAAUCGACUAUUAUACAACAGAACAUGAUCUCCAACUUUAAAAUCUUUAUGGCAGAUGAGCCUGUCAUGCCCUUUUUUAUCUUUUCCUUGUACAAUUUAACACUUUUAUAUGCUGUAAGCUUGAACUCUUCCAACUCAUCAAGCUGCAAUAGACGAUUUUACCUGCAUCUAGCAAGCUUAGAUUCAACAAUUUUAUAGCCCAAUAUGCUUUAUGUCCUAAUUCUACAGGUAAAUGACAAGUUUUUCCAAAACACUAGUCUAUGAGGAGAUGUACCUAUGAGAGUUUUGAAAGCAGUUAUGUAUGCCCAUAAAGCGUCAUCUAACCUUAGAGCCCCAUAAUUUUGCAUUUUUUGGCGAGGCUCAUCUCAUUUUUAUUAUUUAAAAGGAUAAACCUUAGGCAACUACAUAUUUCUACUUUGCGAGGGCCAUAAAAAAUUCAACCAAUGACACACUUCGAUUUCUAAAGAGUUUUAUUAAUAAAAUCAAGUAUAACGGCAAUGAGCGCAUUUAAAAACGACAAUUAGAUACACUUACUAAAUAGCUUAUAUCCGCCACCCCAUACAAUUAUCACGUGCCACCUAAUUUUGACUAACCAAACCCCAAAAAUAUCAUAGAAAAUAUUUUCUAAACUAAAAUAUGCAUACAUUUUCCCACAUAGCUAACUCACAAGAUUUGGACAAAGGGAACCAUGGAGGAUGAUUAUACUAAUUCAAAUUAAGUGAAGCUUUUGACAGAUAAUUAAGUAAAGCCCCCAAUCAAUAAUAAUAAAUUUGCAUCAUAGUUUACUUAAUACAACGGCAAUCAUGCGUUUCCAGCAAAUCCGAGCCCCAAAACGUUAACACACAAUUUGAGUAGUAGGCUAUUUCCAAAUCAGUUCUCCAAUGUAUACAAUGUUAACACUGGAAAGUCAAAUAAUUAGAGCAAUUGUAAUAUGCAAGCUAAACACAAAAUUAGUCAUUGCUCUGAGAACAAAACCCGAACAAAAAUGCAACUUAACAAAAUCUCAAUAUUUAUCAACACCUCAACUGACGGACGAAUUGAUCUUAAAUGAAUGGAUAAGCAGCGACAAAAAUGUUAAACAAUAACACAAGAAAUGAUUGAAUCAUGUUUAUCUAUGUCGAGCAAAUGUACAGAGCAUAAAAAUGAUUUCAAAGAAAUUAUUGCAACGAGAAAAGGAACGGACCUCGAAACAAAGUCAUUUUCGAAUCUGAAAAUACUUAACACUGGAAACCUUAGGCAGAGGCAAACUCGACGGACCUUAGACAACGACCUCCGGCAAACUCGAGCGGCGAAUCCAACAAACAGAACCUCGAUGGCAGCCACGAACACCCGUAUUCUCGUGUUUUCAAAUUCCGUCGAGCCAGUAUUGAAUAUUUCUUUACCCAGGAUAUGCGUGCGUGUGUGUGUGCAUUGGGUUGCAUCAAUGGCUGACGAGAUGAAGCAGCAGUAGCUGGUGGGUCUGCUGACCAGAAAACUGCUGCUGGUGCGUUUGUUUCUACCGAAUUUCCGGCGAGCUCGCUGGUGAGAUGGUUAUCGUGAAGGAGUCAUUUGUUAAGGGAGAUGGGGUGCUGAGUUUGACAUGAAGAAAGGCGAGGUAGUUGGUGGUUUGUUCAGGAGAUGGCUGCUACGGCUGGUUGACGACGCAGCAUUCGGUUCGGUGAAGAAGAUGAAGCACGACGAAGGCUGGUCGUGGGGGACAAUUUUCGGUUGCUGAUGGGCGGGGGUUAUGGUGAUGCUAUGGUUUUUCCAUGUUAGUUCUUUAAGGUUUUUUAGUUGGAGAAGAUGAAGUCAUCUUCAUUGUAUCUAAGGUCUAAGGUGUAAGGGUCUGUCCAAGCUCUCCGGGCCUCUUACGGCUGAUGCUUAAGGUUAGUUUUAUAGGUAGAGUAUUAGGGUAGGUUAGUUUUAGGGUUUUAGGGUAUUGGCCUUGGGUUAUCAGAAUUUUUGGCCUAAAAAUAGGUCAUUUGAAC
rnacentral:lncRNA from 1 species